rnacentral:rRNA from 1 species
UACGUAGGGACCAAGCGUUGUUCGGAUUUACUGGGCGUAAAGGGCGCGUAGGCGGCGCGGUAAGUCACUUGUGAAAUCUCUGAGCUUAACUCAGAACGGCCAAGUGAUACUGCAGUGCUAGAGUGUGGAAGGGGCAAUCGGAAUUCUUGGUGUAGCGGUGAAAUGCGUAGAUAUCAAGAGGAACACCAGUGGCGAAGGCGAGUCUCUGGACAUUUCCUGACGCUGAGGCACGAAAGCCAGGGGAGCAAACAGG